UCAAGUGAAUAAGAGCAUGUGGUGGAUGCCUUGGCGAUGAUAGGCGACGAAGGACGUGAUAGCCUGCGAUAAGCUUCGGGGAGCUGGCAAAUUAGCUUUGAUCCGGAGAUUUCCGAAUGGGGAAACCCACCUGCAAAGGUAUCGCACACUGAAUACAUAGGUGUGCGAGGCGAACCGGGUGAACUGAAACAUCUCAGUAGCUCGAGGAAAAGACAUCAACCGAGAUUCCGAAAGUAGUGGCGAGCGAAAUCGGAGGAGCCUGCAAGUGAUAGCACAAGACUUAGCGGAACGCUCUGGAAAGGGCGGCCAUAGUGGGUGAUAGCCCCGUACGCGAAAAGACCUGUGUGGUACUGAGCUUGCGAAAAGUAGGGCGGGACACGUGAAAUCCUGUCUGAAGAUGGGGGGACCAUCCUCCAAGGCUAAAUACUCAUCAUCGACCGAUAGUGAACAAGUACCGUGAGGGAAAGGCGAAAAGAACCCCGGGAGGGGAGUGAAAUAGAUCCUGAAACCGCAUGCUUACAAAAAGUCGGAGCCCGCAAGGGUGACGGCGUACCUUUUGUAUAAUGGGUCAGCGACUUACAUUCAGUGGCAAGGUUAACCGAAUAGGGAAGCCGUAGAGAAAUCGAGUCCGAAUAGGGCGUUCAGUCGCUGGGUGUAGACCCGAAACCAAGUGAUCUAUCCAUGGCCAGGAUGAAGGUGCCGUAACAGGUACUGGAGGUCCGAACCGACUAGUGUUGCAAAACUAGCGGAUGAGCUGUGGAUAGGGGUGAAAGGCUAAACAAACUUGGAAAUAGCUGGUUCUCUCCGAAAACUAUUUAGGUAGUGCCUCAAGUAUUACCGUCGGGGGUAGAGCACUGUUUUGGCUAGGGGGUCAUGGCGACUUACCAAACCAAGGCAAACUCCGAAUACCGAUGAGUACAGCUUGGGAGACAGAGCACCGGGUGCUAACGUCCGGACUCAAGAGGGAAACAACCCAGACCGCCAGCUAAGGUCCCUAAAAUUGGCUAAGUGGGAAACGAAGUGGGAAGGCUAAAACAGUCAGGAUGUUGGCUUAGAAGCAGCCAUCAUUUAAAGAAAGCGUAAUAGCUCACUGAUCGAGUCGUCCUGCGCGGAAGAUGUAACGGGGCUCAAGCCAGUUACCGAAGCUGCGGAUGCACGAGCAAUCGUGCGUGGUAGGAGAGCGUUCUGUAAGCCUGUGAAGGUGGCUUGUAAAGGCUGCUGGAGGUAUCAGAAGUGCGAAUGCUGACAUGAGUAGCGUUAAAGCGGGUGAAAAGCCCGCUCGCCGUAAGCGCAAGGUUUCCUACGCAACGUUCAUCGGCGUAGGGUGAGUCGGCCCCUAAGGCGAGGCAGAGAUGCGUAGCUGAUGGCAAGCAGGUCAAUAUUCCUGCACCGAUCACAAGUGCGAUGUGGGGACGGAUCUUAAUAGGUUAUCCGGGUGUUGGAUGUCCCGGUUUAGGCAGAUGUAGGCGUGCGUUAGGCAAAUCCGGCGCACACAUACCGAGGCUGCCGAUCGAGCGAGCUUGCUCGCGAAGUAACUGAAAGGGGUCCCAGGAAAAGCCACUAAGCUUCAGCUUGUGAUCGACCGUACCGCAAACCGACACUGGUGCGCGAGAUGAGUAUUCUAAGGCGCUUGAGAGAACUCGGGAGAAGGAACUCGGCAAAUUGACACCGUAACUUCGGAAGAAGGUGUGCCCUAGUAGUGUGUAGAGAACAUCGAAGCACGAAUGGGUUGCAAAAAAUAGGUGGCUGCGACUGUUUAUUAAAAACACAGCACUCUGCAAACACGAAAGUGGACGUAUAGGGUGUGACGCCUGCCCGGUGCUGGAAGAUUAAUUGAUGGGGUGCAAGCUCUUGAUCGAAGUCCCAGUAAACGGCGGCCGUAACUAUAACGGUCCUAAGGUAGCGAAAUUCCUUGUCGGGUAAGUUCCGACCUGCACGAAUGGCGUAACGAUGGCCACACUGUCUCCUCCCGAGACUCAGCGAA
rnacentral:rRNA from 1 species